AAAGGAAAGCAGAAGAAAUAGCAAAAUUUUACACCGCAGAAAAUUUUGUUAGCACUAUUCCGGAAAAGAUGCUAACGGCUGCGCCAUACCUCCGUGGAAGCGACAGGUUCUGGCCAAGAAAGCCGCCGAAAAAGCCCGCAAAGAGGCCGAAGAAGAAAGACAGAGGUCUGCUGAGGAAAGAAGAAGAAAUAUAAUCCCAGAAUGGAAGCGUCAGCUUGUACAAAAGAGCACGACGCCUACAGUGAUGAAUCCUCCCCUUUCAAACCCACAAAAGAAUACCGACAGUUCGCAGGAAUCCCCGGUGAGUGUUUUAACAACCACAAAAUACUUUGAAAAUGGUCAGAAUAAAUGUACGGAGGAUCAGAAGAGCUCUGUCGUCAGCGAAAAGGAGAAAUUACCUAACAGUUACGAUUUCAAGAAGAACAGAAAUAAUUUUCGAUGAUUCAGUGACAUAAGGUUCGCAAUGGCAACACAUGAAAUAAAAGAUGUUGUGUAAAAAGAAAGGAAAAAAAGAAACUCACGGACGUUGAAAUCCGGACGAAUUAAAGAGAAAUAUUUUUAAUAGAGGAAACAACUGUGUUUGUAAUAUUUGUAUUUAUGAAUAUCUUCAUGAGAAACUGACCCUUUGUCGUACUGAAUUUAAUUAAAUUUAAGUUUAUAAAAUAUGUUUCUGUACACAUUUAUGUCUAGGAUUAAAGUGACUCGUGACUCCUAAUAUAUAUGUGAUAAUCUUCCAGAUAACUAAACUUUCGAACCUAGAGGGCGCGACCAUAACAACGUCACAGUGGCUGGCUGAAGUAGCAAAUUAAGGGGUGUGCGAAAGAAAUAUUGUUUUAAGCAUAACGCUUUACUAACAUGUACUGCUGUUGAUGUGGCUUCAUCAAAUUUAAAAUAUUAUGUAAUGUUUGUGAAAUAAAAUAUUUUGUGACUGUCA